GGGUUGUGAGGUUAAGCGACUAAGCGUACACGGUGGAUGCCCUGGCAGUCAGAGGCGAUGAAGGGCGUGCUAAUCUGCGAUAAGCGCCGGUAAGGUGAUAUGAACCGUUAUAACCGGCGAUACCCGAAUGGGGAAACCCAGUGUGACUCGUCACACUAUCAUUACGUGAAUACAUAGCGUAAUGAAGCGAAC
rnacentral:rRNA from 1 species